AUUCCCUCAAUGUGUUGCCUCUUUUGAUGACCACCCUCUGUUCUUAUUAGCUUAAUGUAUGAUACGGACUCUAUUUGUAUCCAAGAUAAUAAUCUUAUUUUUGCAAUGCGGCGCAGUGCUUGAAGCUUGCUUCUACUUCGCCACGGGUUGGCCCGGUAUUGCACUAUCUCCGCGAUCGGCAUACUCGCC